GUGAGGAAUAUUGGUCAAUGGGCGGAAGCCUGAACCAGCCAUCCCGCGUGAAGGAAGGCGGCCCUAUGGGUUGUAAACUUCUUUAGUACAUGAAGAACAGGAUCUACGCGUAGGUUUAUGACGGUAAUGUACAAAAAAGCAUCGGCUAACUCCGUGCCAGCAGCCGCGGUAAUACGGAGGAUGCGAGCGUUAUCCGGAUUCAUUGGGUUUAAAGGGUACGUAGGUGGCCCUGUAAGUCAGUGGUGAAAAUCUGCCGCUUAACGGUAGGGGUGCCAAUGAUACUGCGGGGCUUGAGUACAGUUGAGGUAGGUGGAAUGUGUAGUGUAGCGGUGAAAUGCAUAGAUAGUACACAGAACUCCGAUUGCGAAGGCAUCUCACUAAGCAAAUAUUGACGCUGAGGCACGAAAGCGUGGGGAUCAAACAGGAUUAGAAACCCUUGUAGUCC
rnacentral:rRNA from 1 species